AGUGAACGCUGGCGGUAGGCCUAACACAUGCAAGUCGAACGGCAGCACAGUAAGAGCUUGCUCUUACGGGUGGCGAGUGGCGGACGGGUGAGGAAUACAUCGGAAGCUACUUUUUCGUGGGUGAUAACGUAGGGAAACUUACGCUAAUACCGCAUACGACCUACGGGUGAAAGCAUGGGAUCUUCGGACCUUGCGCGAUUGAAUGAGCCGAUGUCGGAUUAGUUAGUUGGCGGGGUAAAGGCCCACCAAGGCGACGAUCCGUAGCUGGUCUGAGAGGAUGAUCAGCCACACUGGAACUGAGACACGGUCCAGACUCCUACGGGAGGCAGCAGUGGGGAAUAUUGGACAAUGGGCGCAAGCCUGAUCCAGCCAUACCGCGUGGGUGAAGAAGGCCUUCGGGUUGUAAAGCCCUUUUGUUGGGAAAGAAAAGCAGCAGGUUAAUACCCCGCUGUUCUGACGGUACCCAAAGAAUAAGCACCGGCUAACUUCGUG
rnacentral:rRNA from 1 species